rnacentral:rRNA from 1 species
CAGGUCAGGCGGGGCUACCCGCUGAGUUUAAGCAUAUCAAUAAGCCGGAGGAA